rnacentral:rRNA from 1 species
AGAGUUUGAUCAUGGCUCAGGACGAACGCUGGCGGCGUGCUUAACACAUGCAAGUCGAACGGAAAGGCCCCUUCGGGGGUACUCGAGUGGCGAACGGGUGAGUAACACGUGGGUGAUCUGCCCUGCACUUUGGGAUAAGCCUGGGAAACUGGGUCUAAUACCGAAUAGGACCGCAUGCUUCAUGGUGUGUGGUGGAAAGCUUUUGCGGUGUGGGAUGGGCCCGCGGCCUAUCAGCUUGUUGGUGGGGUAAUGGCCUACCAAGGCGACGACGGGUAGCCGGCCUGAGAGGGUGUCCGGCCACACUGGGACUGAGAUACGGCCCAGACUCCUACGGGAGGCAGCAGUGGGGAAUAUUGCACAAUGGGCGCAAGCCUGAUGCAGCGACGCCGCGUGGGGGAUGACGGCCUUCGGGUUGUAAACCUCUUUCAGUAUCGGCGAAGCUCCAGGAUUUUUCUUGGGGUGACGGUAGGUACAGAAGAAGCACCGGCCAACUACGUGCCAGCAGCCGCGGUAAUACGUAGGGUGCGAGCGUUGUCCGGAAUUACUGGGCGUAAAGAGCUCGUAGGUGGUUUGUCACGUUGUCUGUGAAAACUCACAGCUUAACUGUGGGCGUGCGGGCGAUACGGGCAGACUGGAGAACUGUAGGGGAGACUGGAAUUCCUGGUGUAGCGGUGGAAUGCGCAGAUAUCAGGAGGAACACCGGUGGCGAAGGCGGGUCUCCGGGCAGUAACUGACGCUGAGGAGCGAAAGCGUGGGGAGCGAACAGGAUUAGAUACCCUGGUAGUCCAA